ensembl:misc_RNA Y_RNA Y RNA
GGCUGGUCCGAAGGUAGUGAGUUAUCUCAAUUGAUUGUUCACAGUCAGUACAGAUUGAACUCCUUGUUCUACUCUUGACUGGUCUAAA